GAAGAGGGAAGUGUUGGGAUGCGGCUGUGGGGGGAGGGUUGGGGGGAGGGUUCAUCCGGUCCCUCCUGAGGGUCCGGAAUCCCAACACAAAUCCCAACAGCAGGAGCUGGCACCGUUCUGGGUCCUGACACCCCCACCCCAUCCCUGGAUCUGCUCCUGUUUCCCUGGAUCUGCUCCCAUUCCAGGUCCUGACACCCUGACCCCAUCCCCGGAUCUUCUCCCAUUUCAGAUCCUGAAAUCCUGACCCCAUCCCUGGAUCUGCCCCUGUUUCCCUGGAUCUGUUCCCAUUCCAGAUCCUGACACCCCGACCCCAUCCCUGGAUCUGCUCCUGUUUCCCUGGAUCUACUCCCAUUCCAGAUCCUGAAAUCCUGACCCCAUCCCUGGAUCUGCCCCUGUUUCCCUGGAUCUGCUCCCGUUUCCCUGGAUCUGCUCCCAUUCCAGGAGCACCUUGGCCCGGGACAAACACUGCUCAGCUCUCGGGUGAACAUUAAACCCCUCGGAAUUCCCUCAAAUCCCACAUUUUUGGGCUUCUUGACGAGUCACCAGGACCUUGCUGACAAAAGGCAGCCGGUCCUGCUCUAAUUGCGGGAGAGGAGCCCCAAAUUUCCCCUGGAGAGGUGAAGUUUCCCCUGGAGAGGUGAAGUUUCUCCUCCUCACCUCCAGAAAAAACGGAAGAGAGGCGGCAAAAGACCCUCCGGAGACGCACCGGGAAAAAUCCAUCCCGGGAAUUUAAAGCAAACCUGGGGAUUUUUUACUGCCCGGGCUCAGCAGAGCACGGAAACAUUUGCUUAACUUUAAA